rnacentral:rRNA from 1 species
AUGGUGAUCUCAUAUGGAUCGAUCACAUCUAAGAGGGUGGCGGCGCCGCCGCUAGCUCCUGUCAUCAAUCAACUCAUCUCCCCUCCGAUGGACAGGAACAUGGAUUUUCAUCGCGUCCAAAUGGAACACAUAUAUCAUAAUUGCUGGAUUAUUCAAGCUAGGGUCAUGUGGAAGGCUCACGUAAAAGAGAAUGGCAUGGGAAACUUGUACCUUCAGUGCAUACUACUCGAUCGGCAUGUAAGAAUACUUUAUAGCCCAUAUUUUUUAAAUAUAAUUUUGAUAAACAUGUUUUUUUGCUCAUUGUUGUAUUGUUUCUUGAAAAUAUAUUAG